rnacentral:rRNA from 1 species
AUGCCGACCGCAACCGCACCGAGCGCCACUUCCACAAGGGUGAACAGGUGCUGCUCAAGCUUCAGCCUUACGCUCAACGCUCGGUGCGCCAAGCUCGCCUUCAAGUACUUUGGCCCCUACAAGAUCAUCGAGAAGAUCGGUGCGCUCGCGUACAAGCUCGACCUGCCGCCAGAGAGCCAAAUCCACCCCGUCUUCCACGUUUUGCAGCUGAAGCCCUUCACCCCCGACUUCACACCGGUGUACGGCGAGCUGCCCAAGGUGCCGGACCUCUCCGUCGACGACCUCACACCUACGCACAUUUUGGACAGGCGCAUGAUGAAGCAUGGCGACACGCCAGUGGUGCAGCUCAAGGUGCAGUGGGGCACCGGCGACUCCGUGCCGACGACGUGGGAGGACUACGACGUGCUCCGCCACCGUUUUCCGUCAGCGCAGCUCUGGGCGGAGGCAGAGGACGACGACGACACUGAAGAAGAAGAGGUCGUGUCUUAA